UUGAGAAAAAAAAAACAUAUAUUUUUAAAAAAACAUGUACAUUAAUUUUAAUAGGCUAACAUUGCAAUUUCAACAUCAUAUCAUUGAACGUGCAUUAUAUAAUAAUUUUACAAAGUUAAUCCACAUACAUUUGUUAGUGUUUAUAUUCAAACAAGACACGUGACGGACGUGACUAAACCUCAUUGGUUCUUGGGAUUUAGUACGUCACAUUGGCUUCCUGAUUCAGUUGUUUGAUACACAACGUGCGUGAUCGUUGGUAAAUGUGGAUUAAAAGUUGAAACUAAAACUGUUAAAUUAUAUAUAGUGAUCAUCAGAGGACUUGGCUGAAACAACGCGAUUCACAUGGAUUACUUCGGCGAUGUUUUUAUUGUUGUUGCGAUUAACUUUUUGAAAUGUGAGCAGUUUUUAGUUCAAGUAUCAAGUGGAUCUGACAUCGAGGGGAAAUAUAACGUUACGUUUCUUGGAUUUCAUUAAAGUACCUCGGUUUUUGUUUGAAGAUGAAUGAGAGAACAUGAGGCACAGCAGCAUUCAAAUUGACCAAUCAGAGCCGAGAAUUUCUAAUACGUCAAAGUAGAGAUGAACAGAUGAAGAUACGGCCCAUAAAAAUACUUAUUCUUGGUGAGUGCCAUGUAGUGACGGAUCAAACGGACACUCGUGUCAAGCUUGAUGAGGACACAGUCAAAGCUUUAAAAGACCUUGUGAUUAAGUCUUCAGUGUCUGAAUGGCAAGAAGUGACCCUCCACUUAAACGUGACAUUUAAACUGCUCUGUGUUUUGGUUCAGCCAUUUGCAGGUUUAUCUCGAGUUAGUUCAAAUGCACUUCUGCAUUUUUCCCAGUAACUUUUUGUUUAGAGAAUUACAUUAUUAUGAUUAUAUGAAUAUUCAAUGGUUGCAUAUUCAUAGUGUACUUUUCAUAUUGAUGUAUAAAUGUUCCACAAUUUGAUAAAAGUAGCUCAUUGCAUUUCACUGAUCUUUGUUUUAUAUUGUAAAAUCAUUUCAAUAGCAGUAAAUACAUACUUAGUUGUUUCUUUAACAUUUAAUUAGUUGUUAAUGAUGGAAGAAACAGUAUCAUUUUAGAAUGAGUUAAAACAUGUUUUGGUGGCAAACAUGCAGGUAAAAUACUACAUAUAUAACAUUCUAAUAGUAUACUGUACUGUAAUUCAAAUGUCACAUACAGUACAUUAGAAAUGAUGUAUUUUAUGUAUACAAAUGUGUGGGCAAUAUAUUAUUAUUUCAUUUUGUAUGCUAUAUUAUUUAUGUAAUAUUAUUAAAUUAUAUUUAUAAAUGUUUAAAAGGUGGCUUCAAAUGUGCUUCAAGUUGAAACUGAAUACAGUUUUAGAAAAUAGCACAGUUGACUACACUUAGAUUGUCUUAAGUUUGUCUUAACAAGUACUAAAUACUACUUUUUACUAUAUUAAGCACAAUUUACUGCACGAAAAUAAAGCGCUUUUAGUACCUUAAGGUUAUGAACUUACAGUGUAUUUUAGUGAACUUUUUCACCUGGGAAUACAUUUGGUAUAUUAUUUUAACAUACUACUAGUAUAUUUUAAAGUAGAUUCGUAAAUGUUUAAAGGUGGGUUCAAGUUGUAAUUAAAGAUAUUUUUUAAAUACAGACCUAGUAUAUUAAAAUGACAUUUUAGUUCAACUUCAUGGUGUCUCAAAAUAGCACAGUUGAGUACACUAAGAUGGUCUUAAGUUCAUCUUAAAAAGUACUUAAUACUACUUUUUAG